CGUGUGCAGCGUACCAUGCUACACUACGCAACUGACGCUGUAAGCUAAUUCCGAGUAGAAAUCUUUGGUGCAGUAAGAAAUAAUGGACGUUUAGAAAC
rnacentral:lncRNA from 1 species